rnacentral:rRNA from 1 species
CCUACGGGUGGCUGCAGUGAGGAAUAUUGGUCAAUGGACGCAAGUCUGAACCAGCCAUGCCGCGUGCGGGAGGACGGCUCUAUGAGUUGUAAACUGCUUUUGUACGGGGGUAAACGCAGGUACGCGUAUCUGGCUGAAAGUAUCGUACGAAUAAGGAUCGGCUAACUCCGUGCCAGCAGCCGCGGUAAUACGGAGGAUGCAAGCGUUAUCCGGAUUUAUUGGGUUUAAAGGGUGCGUAGGCGGUCGGAUAAGUUAGAGGUGAAAUCCCAAGGCUCAACUUCGGAAUUGCCUUUGAUACUGGGCGGCUAGAGAGUAGUUGCGGUAGGCGGAAUGUAUGGUGUAGCGGUGAAAUGCUUAGAGAUCACACAGAACACCGAUUGCGAAGGCAGCUUACCAACCUACCUCUGACGUUGAGGCACGAAAGCGUGGGGAGCAAACAGGAUUAGAUACCCUAGUAGUC